GCGAGGGAGGGAGCGGCCGUGGGGACCGCUGCAGCCCCGCGGGGACACGCCGGGACAGCCUCCGGGACAGCCAAGGUUGUGGAGGAGAAGAAGGAAAAUCACAAGAGAGGUGCCAGGCACAGCCCAGCCCAGCUCCCCCAGGAGGCCGCGGGGCCACAUCAGCUGCUGAACUCCUGUGCUGAGAGGAGAGGCUGAAAUGCCACCCAAAAGGUGACACACACACAGCUCCGGUGAGGAAUUGUCCACUCGGACACAGCGAUGCUUUUCCCGGCGUGGAUCCCUCCUGCCCACCCCGCAGGUGACCCCAGCGAGCUCUGACCGAUGAGCAGGACACUGGAAUUAACUCCCCCCGUGCCAAGCUACCCGUGAUGAGCCGGUGAGCAGAGAUUCCAGGGCUGUGACAAAAAAAAUAUUUAUUUUUAUAUUUCCUUUGGAUCCCGAGCCCCCCUGGCUGCAGCACAGGCGGGAUGGACCCGUGAGGAUGCCGGGGCUGAG
rnacentral:lncRNA from 1 species